AUUGUACUUUUUGUGUCUACUCCCCAAGGCAAACAAAAAUAAAAACCAACCAACAACAACAACAACAACAACAACAACAAAAAAAAAAAGAAACAGAAGUUUCUGAAGGACGGCAGAAAUGGGAAGUUUUUUCCAUGAUGCAAGACACUAAAUGGAAAGUAACCUGCUCCUGGAAGCUACACCUAGAUGGCCCUAGUCAUGUGAAACCAGUGAUGAUAGCAACAGAUGAAGAUUCUGGACGGGGAAACUAAGGCUUGAACAGUUUGGAUAUGUCUGUUAUUAAAAUGUGAAAUGCACUGGAGUGCCCAGUUUUGUGUCACGUGUCCUUUCUGCCAUACUCAGGCUAAUGGCACUCUUCACGACAAGCCUGAUUGUACUAUUAAGCUCCAGAGGAAAAAAUGUGGCUACAGAGUAUAUUAAAAUACAUACAAUUGAAAAGGAAAAUGUUCAUUUUUGCAAGCAGAAGAUUACCAACAGAAUGCUAAAAUUAAAGCUAGAAGAAAGAUUUGAAGUGCCUUUACAAGGUUAUUUCCAAGGUGAUAGAGUUUUCUUUCCUUUUUGAUGAUUUUACUGUGGAAGUGUGAACACUUGAACAACUCAGUCAGCAAUGAAGAAUGAGGUUAGAACUGGAUUUAGCUGGAAAAUCAACAUUGUCUAAUACAGAAAGACAAGAGAGAAACAGAGAGAAAAAAAGUGAGUUUGUUUAUUU
rnacentral:lncRNA from 1 species